GUGCUUGGGCGAGAGUAGUACUAGGAUGGGUGAUUCCCUAGGAAGUCCUCGUGUUGCACCCUUUUUUUUC
rnacentral:rRNA from 1 species